UACGAAGGGGGCUAGCGUUGCUCGGAAUCACUGGGCGUAAAGCGCACGUAGGCGGCUCUUUAAGUCAGGGGUGAAAUCCUGGAGCUCAACUCCAGAACUGCCCUUGAUACUGAGGAGCUUGAGUCCGGGAGAGGUGAGUGGAACUGCGAGUGUAGAGGUGAAAUUCGUAGAUAUUCGCAAGAACACCAGUGGCGAAGGCGGCUCACUGGCCCGGUACUGACGCUGAGGCACGAAGGCCAGGGGAGCAAACGGG
rnacentral:rRNA from 1 species